rnacentral:rRNA from 1 species
AUGCCCGGCUCCACCGUGCUGCUGAUCGGCGCCUCCAUGGCCGCGCUCCUCGUCAUCUCCCUCUUCACCUUCCUCUGCUCCAACCGGCGCCAGGCGCACCGCGCGCCGCCGUCGCAGUCAGAGCGGAGCGUCGUUGACGUCGAGCUCGGCCACGGGUGCGGGGCCACAGGGAUCGACGACGCCGUGCUGGCCGCGUACACGACCACGGUGUACACCUCGGUGGCGACGCGACGGGAGGAAGAUCAUAUGGCUGCUGCCGAAGCGUUGGCCGACGGUGACCAGCCGCCCGACGACACGGACACGACGCACACGACGUGCGCGGUGUGCCUGGCGGAGUACGCGGACGGCGACGAGCUCCGGUGGCUGCCCGGCUGCAAGCACGCGUUCCACCGGCUGUGCGUCGACGAGUGGCUCCGGCGGCGGCCGAGCUGCCCGCUCUGCCGCACGUCGCCUCCCGCCACGCGCGCGCCGCCUGCGGCCACCACCGAUGACUCCUGA